rnacentral:rRNA from 1 species
AACAAACGCUGGCGGCGUGCCUAAUACAUGCACGUCGAACGAGGAAGUAUCUUCGGAUAUUAUACUAGUGGCGUACGGGUGAGUAACGCGUGGAUAAUCUUCCUUAAGGUGGGGAAUAACCAGCCGAAAGAUUGGCUAAUACCGCAUAAGACCACAACGGUUUCGUCCGAAGGGGUUAAAGGCGCAAGUCGCCUUAAGAUGAGUCUGCGCCCGAUUAGCUAGUUGGUGAGGUAAGAGGUCACCAAGGCGACGAUCGGUAGCUGGUCUGAGAGGACGGCCAGGCACACUGGGACUGAGACACGGCCCAGACUCCUACGGGAGGCAGCAGUAGGGAAUAUUGCACAAUGGAGGAAACUCUGAUGCAGCGACGCCGCGUGAGUGACGAAGGCCUUCGGGUCGUAAAGCUCUGUUCUCAGGGAAAAAGAAAGUGAUUGUACCUGAGGAGAAAGGACCGGCUAACUUCGUGCCAGCAGCCGCCGUAAGAC